CCUCCAGCUGAGAAAGCAAAGCCAACUCACAGUUCCUUGGCUGUCCCGCGGAGCCUGCGGUGGCAAACCACCUCCUUCAGAAGGGUCUGUGGAUUCUCCUGGCUUUUCUGGCCUUGCCGGAGUCCCACUGCUCCCGAACACAUGCCCUGAGGCAGCGUGCCUGCACAACCAGCUUCCAUCUGAACGCUUCAGACAUGCGCUGCAUUCAGGAAUGGCUGUAAGAAUGCACAGACUACAAGAGAGCAGGGACUUUUCUUGGACAGAGAAGCUGAGAAGUAUCAGAUAAAGAUGACCUGCAUGUACUGGAAAAUAAUCUGUGGUUUAUAUGUAGGCGGAUGGAAGCAAACCAGGGUAAUAUACAUUUAGAGGCAGAGGGCUCUCACAAUAUCCUCUUCAAAAAACAUUAGGAUGAAAACAGUUGCAGAACAUUUCUAGUAAAAUAUAUCAUUAAAACUUAGAACAAAAGAAGAAUUUGUAGUUCACAGCCACAUGAGAUAGUCAAGUGUUAAAAGGGAAAAAGAGCUAUCGAAGGCAGGAAGCAAAAUGCCUUCAGAGAUAAAAGGUUAUUCGUGGCUGAGUGAAAAAAAUGGACAAUGAGCAGAAAAUAAUUUAUACUACAAAGUCUUUAGACGUCAUUUACUUGGGAGAACUGAACACUAUUUUAAAAUAAGAAUAACUGGAGUUGCAAGAAACGGAAACAACCCACAGAGCACUGUCAUAGCCAGUUGGCGCUUCAUUACAUCUUUCCACAAUUACUUAGAAUUCGCUGGAUGAAACAUUUGCUACAAAUCAUUGCUAAUGCAGCAUCUUAAAUAACCUCAAAAUGAGCCGGUACAUUUCUAUUAAACUGCCUUAAUGAACAAUUUAAGAAGUAAAAUACUCCACUAUGUUAUAAUGCAUUUUUUUCU
rnacentral:lncRNA from 1 species